GACGAACGCUGGCGGCGUGCUUAACACAUGCAAGUCGAGCGGUAAGGCCCCUUCGGGGGUACACGAGCGGCGAACGGGUGAGUAACACGUGAGCAAUCUGCCCUUCACUUUGGGAUAACUCUGGGAAACGAGAGCUAAUACCGAAUACGACCACUUCAGGCAUCUGAUGGUGGUGGAAAGUUCCGGCGGUGAAGGAUGAGCUCGCGGCCUAUCAGCUAGUUGGUGGAGUAACGGCCCACCAAGGCUUCGACGGGUAGCCGGCCUGAGAGGGUGACCGGCCACACUGGGACUGAGACACGGCCCAGACUCCUACGGGGGCAGCAAUUAGGAAUCUUGCGCAAUGGGGGAAACCCUGACGCAGCGACGCCGCGUGAGCGAUGAAGUCUUUCGGGAUGUAAAGCUCUGUCCUGUGGGGAAGAAGAAUGUGACGGUACCCACAGAGAAAGCCCCGGUAACUACGUGCCAGCAGCCGCGGUGAGCAUACUCGUA
rnacentral:rRNA from 1 species